rnacentral:lncRNA from 1 species
GACCAGACACUUCCCCCAAGUUUAAGUCUCCAGCAAGCAGAGUUGGAACAGUACUUUUGGGCCUGAUUUCUACCCAAGUCACUGGGCUGCAUGACCAGCCUAUCCUAUUCAAAUUUAACAUUGCAUUGUAUUGGAAAAGCCAAAAUGUAUAAGAUUGGGAAACUAUCUAAAUUCUACCUCAUGGCUCAAGCAUUCUUUCUUGAUCAGCAAAAUUUGUCUAAAGCUGAGGUCUCUAUCCUAGGGUGUGGCAUCUUAAGGCAAUGGCUUACAUGGUUAGCUCAUGAAACCAGGGACAGAGAGCAGACUCUUGUCAGAGAGAAUGGUUUUCUGACUUCUAUAGCUUGUCUCAGGAGAACAGGAAACCAAGUCAUAAAAGCAGUUAUUUGCCUAUGGUCAGAAUCAUGGGCUGAAAAGUAACCUCUGUCCCCUUUGCUUUUGUUGGAUGUCUUUGCUAUUGAGUGGAAAGAUCAUAUAACAGUUAUAUCAUCUGGACUGGGAAGGUUUUGGAAUGAUACUAAUGAUUACAUUAGGACGAAGGGUAUAAACCAAGAUUGUCUCAGGCAAACCAGGACAUUUGGUUCACUCUAAUUAUAGCUCAUCAUGAUGACAUCACUCCUUCUCUUGAGCACAUUAGAUGAUGACAUCAGACAGGCAGCCAAGGUACUAGAGGAAGCAAUGCACUUCUUAAAAAAAAAAAAAAAAAAAAAAAAAACCACUUUCCUGACAGAGGUUGUUAUUAUCUGUAGCUAAUUGAGGCAACCAUGUCUUUGGGACAUAACCCCACUUCUUAGGUGAGAAUCAUUUUCUUUAAGUGAUUUAUGAGAAUGGAAAUGCACACCAACCCUAAAAUGAUCAAGACUCACUAUCCGUACACUGUCAUUGCCUCAUGAGUAGUAAAAAUCAACUAAAUUUUAUAUAAUUCUUUGAGAUGAAGUUGCCAAGACACUUUUCCCUGGACAUCGUAGUUCCUACAAGAGGUAGACAGUGAAUGGCUUGGCUCUGUAGUACUGGUCAGGAGUGCCAAUUGUAGAGGGAGGGCUGGACUUGCAUAGUGGCAAGGGAAAGAGGCUGAUUCCUCUUGUACAGUGCCCCUCCCCUCUGGUGGUCUUGGUCAUGGUGCUGCUGACAUCUGCUCAACGCAUUUGGCUCAUUUCUCCCUUUCACACUUUCAAAAAUAGAUCUUCGUCCCUCCCAAGAUGUUGUUUACACGAGGGGCUUCAUAACGGAUUCUAACGGAAGACACUGAAAAGGUAACUUGUCAGAUGGGCAGGAGGGUGGCUUCUGGGGUAGGGCUUAAGGGUGAAUUAGGGUUUUCGUUCUUGUUUUUUUGUUGUUUUUUUAAAGAAACUGAGGAAAGGCAUCCUAGAAAUGUAAGCAGUGGAGGUCUCCAUAUGGGGAAUUAGAAGUCAAGAAUGUAAAAAAGCCUGCCCAACUGAGGGAGUGUAAGAGUUGGUAAAACAGCCUCCCUCAGACACAGCUACAUUCAGGGAUCACUGGGCUGAGCCUAUGAAGACUCUGAUCCAGUAAGUCUAGAGUGGAGUUGGAAUUCUGCAUCUCUCGGUUGCUCCACUGAAGUCAUUCUCAUGGGGAUCCCAUUUACAAACUUUGACUGGGGUGACUUCAGAUAUCAGAGUAUGAGCCAGGGGUCUGACUAUGUUAUUAUCCUGAUUCUGUGGUUUCUCAGGCCAGUACCAUAGUUGAUUUAUCUUGUAACUUAAUAUUUUAAAAUAGAGCUAGGUAUACCUUGCCUAUUGUAUGCCUCACAAGGGAGUUUGGAACCCAGGGAUAAACAAUGUAGUAUGUAUACUCAAUACUGAGAUCAGAGAAAUGCAAAAGAUCUGGUGGCAGUAGAGAGAUAUUUCUAGAAAGAAAAGUUAAACAUUAUAGAGGGAUGGAACAGAACAAGCGAUAGGAACCAAAGCCUUACCAAUGAGAAGUGGUCCCAUGUGUCCACUUCAAGAAAGCCAAGGCUACAUUUUAAAACUCAGCUUCUGCAUUUCAAGUAGAAGCAAGACAUGAUGAUUUAAGUUGCACAGGCAUGCCUCCAAAGGCUUCAUGGAAUCUCUCUUUAGAAGUAAGUUUUCCUAGGAUGACUGAAAAUUUUCUUAGAUGACACACACAUACCUCUAUUGCUCUUGCCUUGACAAGACGACAAACCAAAGAGAUGGCCUCUGACCUCUGUAUUUCAGAAUCCAGAAAACAGUGAAGCAGAGCCUGUGAGAGGCAGUCCUGAGGGGGUGGAAACCUGGAUUCUAAGGACCAUGCCCAUGCUUCUCAGGCUGCCACAAUCAUGAGGAUGCUUUAAGCUGCUUGUCAUCCACAAUCACGAUGAUGCCUUAAGCUGCUUGUCAUCAUUUAUUC